UACGGAGGGGGCUAGCGUUGUUCGGAUUUACUGGGCGUAAAGGGCGCGCAGGCGGCAGAUUAAGUCAGACGUGAAAGCCCCGGGCUUAACCUGGGAACUGCGUUUGGGACUGGUUUGCUAGAGAUCGGGAGAGGAGAGUGGAAUUCCCAGUGUAGAGGUGAAAUUCGUAGAUAUUGGGAAGAACACCGGUGGCGAAGGCGGCUCUCUGGACCGAUACUGACGCUGAGGCGCGAAAGCGUGGGGAGCAAACAGG
rnacentral:rRNA from 1 species